GGAGAUCUGAAAAUGGACAAAAUCAGUCUGCAGUGGAAGGAUGGGUCACUUCGGUUCCCAUAUGAAAAAAGAAUUUAGGUGGAAAUUCCACUAAACCUGAAAAAUGACAGUUUGUGGCAUUUGAUUUUAUCUCAUUACAGGUACUCUUGGAUCAGACUCGGCGCCAAGAAUGUGUGAUCACCUCCUAACUCAGUCACACUCCUACAGAAGUGACCUCUCAGGCCUCCCUCUGCUUGCUUGGAUUUGUUUCCCUGUGUUUUAGAAGUGUGCUAACUGCUCCCAGGUGAUCGAGGUUGAGAAGGGUAAGCAGCGAGGCCUCGGAAGUUAGCAUUGUCCUGUUUCUGGAUCUCCUUCUUAUGUAUUUAGCCUCUUUGCUGGCUGUCCCAGACCAUGUCCCUAAGCAGUAGACCUGCAGUUGCUGCUGAUCCAAGGAUCUGUCCUUUAUCACCCAAGAUGCACCUCGGCUCCCUACUUCCCUUUUUUUAUACCUUAACUCCCAAUUUAAGAACAGAACAAGGAAGUGACUAUCAUUUCUGACUUUUUCCCCUCCUAAUUCUAUAAUUCUGUGUCAUCUCUAUCAUACACAUAACACUAAUAUUAGUUCCUUAAUAUUUAUCAACUGGGAAUGUAAGCAGAAUUAAAAUCUAGAGAAUUAUAGAUGCAGCUCACCAUCUGUGUGACCACUGACCCUGGAUGGUGAGAGCUGUGACCUGAUGAGUCCAUCCUCGUUUGAAUGGACUGGUGGUAACCACGGGCAGGUGGGGCAUGCCUGGAGGAGGUGAGUCACUGGGGACCUGCCCAGCAUUUUCCCUGUGGCCCCUUCCUUCCUUCCCUGCUUCCUGAGCUGAGCAGCUUCCCUCUGAUGGGCUCUUCCUCCAUGAUGUGCUGCCUCACCUUGUGCUCAGAACAAUGGAGUUGGCCGUCUAUGGACUGAGACCUUU
rnacentral:lncRNA from 1 species